rnacentral:rRNA from 1 species
UACAGAGGUCCCAAGCGUUGUUCGGAUUCACUGGGCGUAAAGGGUGCGUAGGCGGUUUGAUAAGUCUGAUGUGAAAUCCCGCAGCUUAACUGCGGAACUGCAUUGGAAACUAUUUGACUAGAGGAAUGGAGGGGAGACUGGAAUUUACGGUGUAGCGGUGAAAUGCGUAGAUAUCGUAAGGAAGACCAGUGGCGAAGGCGGGUCUCUGGACAGUUCCUGACGCUGAGGCACGAAGGUCAGGGGAGCAAACGGG